UACGUAGGAUCCAAGCGUUGUCCGGAUUUACUGGGUGUAAAGGGUGCGCAGGCGGGCUGGUAAGUCAGUUGUGAAAUCUCGGCGCUCAACGCCGAAACGUCUUUUGAUACUACCAGUCUUGAAUAAGCGAGAGAUCCGUGGAAUUCCGAGUGUAGCAGUGAAAUGUGUAGAUAUUCGGAAGAACACCAGAGGCGAAGGCAGCGGGUUGGCGCUUUAUUGACGCUCAGGCACGAAAGCAUGGGGAUCAAACAGG
rnacentral:rRNA from 1 species